rnacentral:rRNA from 1 species
GACGAACGCUGGCGGCGUGCUUAACACAUGCAAGUCGAACGGAAAGGCCCUGCUUUUGUGGGGUGCUCGAGUGGCGAACGGGUGAGUAACACGUGAGUAACCUGCCCUUGACUUUGGGAUAACUUCAGGAAACUGGGGCUAAUACCGGAUAGGAGCUCCUGCUGCAUGGUGGGGGUUGGAAAGUUUCGGCGGUUGGGGCUGGACUCGCGGCUUAUCAGCUUGUUGGUGGGGUAGUGGCUUACCAAGGCUUUGACGGGUAGCCGGCCUGAGAGGGUGACCGGCCACAUUGGGACUGAGAUACGGACCAGACUCCUACGGGAGGCAGCAGGGGGGAAUAUUGCACAAUGGGCGGAAGCCUGAUGCAGCAACGCCGCGUGCGGGAUGACGGCCUUCGGGUUGUAAACCGCUUUCGCCUGUGACGAAGAGUGAGUGACGGUAAUGGGUAAAGAAGCACCGGCUAACUACGUG